CGGGAAAUCGCUUUGGAAUCCAGGA
rnacentral:miRNA from 1 species